rnacentral:rRNA from 1 species
UUAAGUGACUAAGCGUACACGGUGGAUGCCUUGGCAGUCAGAGGCGAUGAAGGACGUAUUAACUUGCGAUAAGCCCAGAUUAGGUAGUAAAAACCAUUUGAGUCUGGGAUUUCCGAAUGGGGAAACCCACUUACAUAAGUAAGUAUCGCUGCGUGAAUACAUAGCGCAGCGAGGCGAACCGGGGGAACUGAAACAUCUAAGUACCCCGAGGAAAAGAAAUCAACCGAGAUUCCGAAAGUAGCGGCGAGCGAAAUUGGACUAGCCCUUAAGCUUUUUAUGCGUCAGGUGAAACUUCUGGAAAGUUGUGCGAUACAGGGUGAUAGCCCCGUAACCGGCAACGCAUAUAAAGUGAAAUCGAGUAGGGCGGGACACGUGAUAUCCUGUCUGAAUAUGGGGGGACCAUCCUCCAAGGCUAAAUACUACUGACUGACCGAUAGUGAACCAGUACCGUGAGGGAAAGGCGAAAAGAACCCCUGUGAGGGGAGUGAAAUAGAACCUGAAACCGUGUACGUACAAGCAGUAGGAGCACCUUCGUGGUGUGACUGCGUACCUUUUGUAUAAUGGGUCAGCGACUUAUAUUCAGUGGCAAGGUUAACCAUCUAGGGGAGCCGUAGGGAAACCGAGUCUUAACUGGGCGUUCAGUCUCUGGAUAUAGACCCGAAACCAGGUGAUCUAGCCAUGGGCAGGUUGAAGGUUGAGUAACAUCAACUGGAGGACCGAACCGACUAAUGUUGAAAAAUUAGCGGAUGACUUGUGGCUAGGGGUGAAAGGCCAAUCAAACCUGGAGAUAGCUGGUUCUCCCCGAAAGCUAUUUAGGUAGCGCCUCGGACGAAUACUACUGGGGGUAGAGCACUGUUAAGGCUAGGGGGUCAUCCCGACUUACCAACCCUUUGCAAACUCCGAAUACCAGUAAGUACUAUCCGGGAGACACACGGCGGGUGCUAACGUCCGUCGUGGAGAGGGAAACAACCCAGACCGCCAGCUAAGGUCCCAAAUUACUACUAAGUGGGAAACGAUGUGGGAAGGCUCAGACAGCCAGGAUGUUGGCUUAGAAGCAGCCAUCAUUUAAAGAAAGCGUAAUAGCUCACUGGUCGAGUCGGCCUGCGCGGAAGAUGUAACGGGGCUAAGUAGUAAACCGAAGCUGCGGCAAUGCACUUUAGUGCAUUGGGUAGGGGAGCGUUGUGUAAGCGGUUGAAGGUGUGUGGUAACGCAUGCUGGACGUAUCAGAAGUGCGAAUGCUGACAUGAGUAACGAUAAAGGGGGUGAAAAACCUCCUCGCCGGAAGACCAAGGGUUCCUGUCCAACGUUAAUCGGGGCAGGGUAAGUCGACCCCUAAGGCGAGGCCGAAAGGCGUAGUCGAUGGGAAACGGGUUAAUAUUCCCGUACUUCUUACAAUUGCGAUGGGGGGACGGAGAAGGCUAGGUGGGCCUGGCGACGGUUGUCCAGGUUCAAGUGCGUAGGCUGAGAAAUUAGGUAAAUCCGGUUUCUCUUAAGGCUGAGACACGACGUCGAGCUACUACGGUAGUGAAGUCAUUGAUGCCAUGCUUCCAGGAAAAGCCUCUAAGCUUCAGAUUGUAAGGAAUCGUACCCCAAACCGACACAGGUGGUCGGGUAGAGAAUACCAAGGCGCUUGAGAGAACUCGGGUGAAGGAACUAGGCAAAAUGGUACCGUAACUUCGGGAGAAGGUACGCUCUCGACGGUGAAGUCCCUCGCGGAUGGAGCUAUUGAGAGUCGCAGAUACCAGGUGGCUGCAACUGUUUAUUAAAAACACAGCACUGUGCAAAAUCGUAAGAUGACGUAUACGGUGUGACGCCUGCCCGGUGCCGGAAGGUUAAUUGAUGGGGUUAGACUUCGGUCGAAGCUCUUGAUCGAAGCCCCGGUAAACGGCGGCCGUAACUAUAACGGUCCUAAGGUAGCGAAAUUCCUUGUCGGGUAAGUUCCGACCUGCACGAAUGGCGUAAUGAUGGCCACGCUGUCUCCACCCGAGACUCAGUGAAAUUGAAAUCGCUGUGAAGAUGCAGUGUACCCGCGGCUAGACGGAAAGACCCCGUGAACCUUUACUACAGCUUGGCACUGAACAUUGACCCUACAUGUGUAGGAUAGGUGGGAGGCUUUGAAACUAGUACGCCAGUAUUAGUGGAGCCGUCCUUGAAAUACCACCCUUGUAGUGUUGAUGUUCUAACGUCGACCCCUUAUCGGGGUUGCGGACAGUGCCUGGUGGGUAGUUUGACUGGGGCGGUCUCCUCCCAAAGCGUAACGGAGGAGCACGAAGGUGGGCUAAUCACGGUUGGACAUCGUGAGGUUAGUGCAAUGGCAUAAGCCCGCUUGACUGCGAGAAUGACAAUUCGAGCAGGUGCGAAAGCAGGUCAUAGUGAUCCGGUGGUUCUGAAUGGAAGGGCCAUCGCUCAACGGAUAAAAGGUACUCCGGGGAUAACAGGCUGAUACCGCCCAAGAGUUCAUAUCGACGGCGGUGUUUGGCACCUCGAUGUCGGCUCAUCACAUCCUGGGGCUGAAGUCGGUCCCAAGGGUAUGGCUGUUCGCCAUUUAAAGUGGUACGCGAGCUGGGUUUAGAACGUCGUGAGACAGUUCGGUCCCUAUCUGCCGUGGGCGUUGGAAGAUUGAAGGGGGCUGCUCCUAGUACGAGAGGACCGGAGUGGACGAACCUCUGGUGUUCGGGUUGUGUCGCCAGACGCAUUGCCCGGUAGCUAAGUUCGGAAUCGAUAACCGCUGAAAGCAUCUAAGCGGGAAGCGAGCCCUGAGAUGAGUCUUCCCUGAUACUUUAAGUAUCCUAAAGGGUUGUUCGAGACUAGAACGUUGAUAGGCAGGGUGUGUAAGCGUUGUGAGGCGUUGAGCUAACCUGUACUAAUUGCCCGUGAGGCUUAACC